GGCAGAGAGCCAACAUUUUAAUACAAUUUCAUUAUUUAAAAAACCGUUUGAAGAGUGCAUUUUGACUAGCGCGGUGCUUUUUUGACUGCCGCUGCUGUUGAUGUCACGCUCUCAGUUGUGUUUACCAAUUUUAUAGGUUAUGAAGUGAGUUUACUGUCCAAAGUAGUAUUGCAGUGGAGGAAAGUGAAAAAAUGAACGAUAAAAAAGUUUAACGGGUUAAAAAUGGUCGUUUUAUAAAAAAAUGUCAACAAAAAACGUGGCGAAACAAACGAAUGGCAAAAUAUGAGCAAAAGGUCGAACGGACGUCACAUAUGCGACAUAUUUUGAAUGCAGCGUUGCCAAACGUUACCGAUCCAUUUGUCGUGUAAUCCGAAUGAUUUCUCCUCACAUAUUUUUUUUAAUAUUUCAAUCUAUUUUCAACGGCACAAUGUGUAAAUACAAGCUGCGAUCCCUGUCAUUGAGAAAUAAGUGGUUACCGAAUAAAACAGCAAAAAAAUGUCGGACCCUGUUGGUAAAAUUGAAAAGUUACGAAACGUAAACAUACUUGGACCGGCAUAAUAAUCACAAGAACGAAGUAUCGCUUCCGAAUUGACCGUCGAGAGUCAAUUGUCAAAAAAAAUUCCCGAAAUUACUAUUUUAUAUUGUUUUCAUAAAUGACUCGUGGUGAAUAAAGUUUUCAAUUGAAA